AGGGAUGUAGCUUGGUGGUAGAGUACUUGCUUAGCAUGCACAGAGCCCUGGCUUCAAGUCCCAGCAUGUCAA
rnacentral:tRNA from 1 species